CCCUCAGAUGUUCUGGGCAGCACGCGCGCUACAAUGGUCUUCGCAAACGGAUGCAUUCUCGAAGGAGGAUGCCAAUCUUGGAAUCUAUGCCUUGGUCGGGACAGUUGCUUGCAAUUUUUCGACUCGAACCAGGAAUUCCUUGUAAUCGUGAUUCAUCACAUCACGAUGAAUACGUCCCUGCCCUUUGUACACACCGCCCGUCGCUCCUACCGAUCGAAGAGUUAGGUGAAUUGUUUUGAUCGAUAAGAUUUGACUAUGGUCAACUCUCGUUGUGAAAUUCUGUGAAUCUGACUGUUUAGAGGAAGGAAAAGUCGUAACA
rnacentral:rRNA from 1 species